rnacentral:misc_RNA from 1 species
GAUGAAGAACGUAGCGAAAUGCGAUAAGUAAUGUGAAUUGCGGAAUUCAGUGAAUCAUCGAAUCUUUGAACGCACCUUGCACUCCUUGGUAUUCCGAGGAGUACGCCUGUUCGAGUGUUAUGAAGCUCUCAAAACGCAAUUGGCUUAAAACCUGAUUGUUGUUUUGGAUUUGAACUUUGCCGUGUUAUAACGGCUGGUUUUAAAAGUAUUAGCUGGUACUAGAACGAAUUGGUUCUACUCAACGUGAUAAUUAUCUGAUCGUUGAGGACAUUCCUUUCACGAGGAAUGGCCAUAGUAAAUUCAAUGGACUGCUUCUAAUCUGGCUUUAAUUCUUUAUUGGAUUAACCACUUUUCAAAUCUGACCUCGAAUCAGGUGGGACUACCCGCUGAACUUAAGCAUAUCAAUAAGCGGAGGA